rnacentral:lncRNA from 1 species
UUAAAGGAGUAGGUCCAGUAAGACCCCUUUUUGGCCCCAAAAUAUAGCAGUUUUACAAAAUUGUUCAAAUGUAAACUUUUAGUAAUUUAUUGGACAGAAGAAUGCUUCUGCUACAUAAAUAUGGGCUGUUUUUUGACAAUACAAUGAAAAUAUAUCGGGUACUAGCACCACAAAGUCAUGCUAAAUUACUGGAAUCUUCACAAUUCUAGCAUUUUAGUUGAAUUUUAGAC